CGCUAAUCCUUACACACUGACCGGAAGUGUACACAGUCAUACAUUUAGUUGAUUUUAAAUCUCUAUGAGCGCAUAAAGUACAUGAUUAAUGUCAAUAAUUAGAAUAAUUUAGUAACGGAACGCUCGUGUGCCGCUUUAACCCGUUAAACGCAUGCGCGCACACAGCACGUUGUUUGGUUGCCCUGGUAACCAGAAGACGAACGCGGGCCAAAAUGGAGAGGCAGUCUCACAGCUCGGCGCUUGCUCUGUUUGAAUCAGAUCUGCAGGAGCGAAGACAAAGGCUGAAGGAGCAGCUGCAGGCAGAAGAACAGAACUUUAUUCAGGAGCUGCAGAAGAAGAAGGAGGUGGAAAAAGAGGAAGAGAAGAAGAAGAGGAGAGAGCGGGUGAUCGAGCUGAGAGAGCGAAGGGAGAGAGAGAGAGAGCAGCUGGUUACACACAAACUGGAACAACUGUUCAGGCAGAGCUCGGAGCAGCGUGACAUUGAGACGACCCUGAGGCAGCAGCAGGGGUGGGCGGAGCUUCAGGCUCAGGUGAAGCAGAGAAAGGAGGCGUGUGAUUGGAGGAUGAAGGAGCAGCGUGCGUUUGAGGAGCUGUGGGAGUCUGACAGGAGAGCCAAGGAGGAGCGCCACAGGAGGGAGGAGGAGGAGAGGAGGGAGAGACAAACUCAGCUCCAGCACGAGCUGCGUCUGCAGAGAGAAGAG
rnacentral:lncRNA from 1 species